rnacentral:rRNA from 1 species
GAUGAACGCUGGCGGCGUGCUUAACACAUGCAAGUCGAACGAUGAAGCCCAGCUUGCUGGGUGGAUUAGUGGCGAACGGGUGAGUAACACGUGAGUAACCUGCCCUUAACUCUGGGAUAAGCCUGGGAAACUGGGUCUAAUACCGGAUAGGAGCGUCCACCGCAUGGUGGGUGUUGGGAAGAUUUAUCGGUUUUGGAUGGACUCGCGGCCUAUCAGCUUGUUGGUGAGGUAAUGGCUCACCAAGGCGACGACGGGUAGCCGGCCUGAGAGGGUGACCGGCCACACUGGGACUGAGACACGGCCCAGACUCCUACGGGAGGCAGCAGUGGGGAAUAUUGCACAAUGGGCGGAAGCCUGAUGCAGCGACGCCGCGUGAGGGAUGACGGCCUUCGGGUUGUAAACCUCUUUCAGUAGGGAAGAAGCGAAAGUGACGGUACCUGCAGAAGAAGCACCGGCUAACUACGUG